ACGCUAGCUACAGGCUUAACACAUGCAAGUCGAGGGCAGCGGGUUGAAAGCUUGCUUUCAAUGCCGGCGACCGGCGCACGGGUGCGUAACGCGUAUCAAACCUGCCUCAUACUCGGGGAUAGCCUUGCGAAAGUAAGAUUAAUACCCGAUGUUGUUGCUUUCUCGCAUGGGAGAGUAACCAAAGAUUUAUCGGUAUGAGAUGGUGAUGCGUCCGAUUGGGUAGUAGGCGGGGUAACGGCCCACCUAGCCUUCGAUCGGUAGGGGUUCUGAGAGGAAGGUCCCCCACACUGGAACUGAGACACGGUCCAGACUCCUACGGGAGGCAGCAGUGAGGAAUAUUGGUCAAUGGGCGAGAGCCUGAACCAGCCAAGUAGCGUGCAGGAUGACGGCCCUCCGGGUUGUAAACUGCUUUUAGUUGGGAAUAAAAAAAGGGACUUGUCCCUUCUUGUAUGUACCUUCAGAAAAAGGACCGGCUAAUUCCGUGCCAGCAGCCGCGGUAAUACGGAAGGUCCAGGCGUUAUCCGGAUUUAUUGGGUUUAAAGGGAGCGUAGGCGGAUUGUUAAGUCAGCGGUUAAAGGGUGUGGCUCAACCAUGCAUUGCCGUUGAAACUGGCGAUCUUGAGUGCAGACAGGGAUGCCGGAAUUCGUGGUGUAGCGGUGAAAUGCUUAGAUAUCACGAAGAACUCCGAUCGCGAAGGCAGGUGUCCGGGCUGCAACUGACGCUGAGGCUCGAAAGUGUGGGUAUCAAACAGGAUUAGAUACCCUGGUAGUCCACACAGUAAACGAUGUAUACUCGCGGUUUGCGAUAGAUUGUAAGCCGCCAAGCGAAAGCAUUAAGUAUACCACCUGGGGAGUACGCCGGCAACGGUGAAACUCAAAGGAAUUGACGGGGGCCCGCACA
rnacentral:rRNA from 1 species